rnacentral:rRNA from 1 species
ACAUGCAAGUCGAACGCGAAAGUCCCGCAAGGCAUCAGUAGAGUGGCAAACGGGUGGGUAACGCGUGGGCGACCUACCUUCGAGUGGGGGAUAACCUUCCGAAAGGAGGGCUAAUACCGCAUAACAUUCCGAGUUUGGACACUCGGGUAUCAAAGCCGGGGAUCGCAAGACCUGGCGCUUGAAGAGGGGCCUGCGUCCGAUUAGCUAGUUGGUGGGGUAAUGGCUCACCAAGGCUUCGAUCGGUAUCCGGCCUGAGAGGGCGGACGGACACACUGGGACUGAGACACGGCCCAGACUCCUACGGGAGGCAGCAGUGGGGAAUUGUUCGCAAUGGGCGCAAGCCUGACGACGCAACGCCGCGUGGAGGAUGAAGACCUUCGGGUCGUAAACUCCUUUCGACCGAGAUGAAUUCCUGCCGGCUGAAUACGCUGGCAGUUUGACAGUAUCGAGGGAAGCAGCCCCGGCUAACUCCGUGCCAGCAGCCGCGGUAAUACGGGGGGGCAAGCGUUGUUCGGAAUUACUGGGCGUAAAGGGUUUGUAGGUGGCCCGCUAAGUCACAUGUGAAAUCCCUCAGCUUAACUGGGGAACUGCGUGUGAGACUGGCAGGCU